UAAAAUUCAUUGACGAGAACGAGUAGGUUAUCAAUAUAUUCUCCAGAGAGUUGGCAUUUUGCUGAAAGCCAAUGUUUACAUUUGUAACCGAAUAUCAUCUCCGAGAAGUAGAACUGAACAACGUAGUAAGUUCUAACCGGUCACUCACCGUUAUUAAGAGCACGUAUAAUUAUGUACGUUGUAAAGCCGCACGCAUAUACAUUAUAUGCGUGAACAAGGGUGGUAUCGCGGGUAAAUUCAACCCGUCCCUUUC
rnacentral:ncRNA from 1 species